UACGAAGGGGGCUAGCGUUGCUCGGAAUCACUGGGCGUAAAGGGUGCGUAGGCGGGUCUUUUAAGUCAGGGGUGAAAUCCUGGAGCUCAACUCCAGAACUGCCUUUGAUACUGAAGAUCUUGAGUUCGGGAGAGGUGAGUGGAACUGCGAGUGUAGAGGUGAAAUUCGUAGAUAUUCGCAAGAACACCAGUGGCGAAGGCGGCUCACUGGCCCGAUACUGACGCUGAG
rnacentral:rRNA from 1 species